ensembl:lncRNA
UUUUUUUUUUUUUUUUUUUUGCAGAUCGUUGUAGCAGACAAACUGGCAUCGUCCUAAUUCUAGGAGUGUGCAUGAUUGUUUUCAUGACCAUGACUUUUGUCAUCUUUUUGCAUCAACAAAGAAAAUUCUCGAUGCUGGAGAGUUGGAUGAACAGUCAGAGUUCAAAUCUAACUUCAGUCAAACCUGAUCUUCAGAACACAGAGCGUCAGGAUGUGUUAUACACUGAAGUGAAGAGUUUGAUGCUCGGUUUGAGUUCUGCAGUAUCAGCGCUGACAUCCAAACUAAAUGAUGCAGUUGGCAAACAGGACCAGAAACAGACUGAAACAAAAAAAUUAUUAGACAGUUUGAGCUCAUCUGUUACUUCUCUACAGUCUGAUCAACAAAAGAAGCAGAGUGACUUUGAGUCUCUGUCGAGCUCACUGAAUGAUCUGAAGAGUUCAACUUCAGAGCUCUCUUCUUCUGUCGCAUCUAUAUCUUCUCAACUAUCAGUCCACAUUCAGGAUGUGUCGCAAACUGACAUAAAGAGUUUGAUGAACACUUUGAGUUCUGCAGUGUCAGCGCUUACAGGGCAGCUGAAUGAUGCAGUUAACAAGCAGGACCAGAAACAGAGUGAAGCGGAAAGAUCACUGGACAGUUUGAAGGCAUCUGUAGAGUCUGAUCAACAAAAUAAACAACGUGACUUCGAGUCUCUUUCGAGCUCAUUGAGGGACCUGAAGAGUUCAGUUUCAGUUCUCACUUCUUCUGUAGCAUCUAUUUCUUCUCAACUAUCAGUCAGCAGUGAGUAAACCUUACAUUACGUGCAAUACAGCACUCGAAUCCAUAACUCUACAAUCAGGGUGUGAAUUAUAGAGUGAGGUGGUCUGAACCCCUCCAACAGACAUCAUAACGAAAGUAUUUAGUCAAUAUAUUUCAUAAGAAGGAAUAGUCUUAAAGGAAUAGUUCACCCAAAAAUAAAAAUUUGCUGAGCAUUUAAUCA